UACGAGGGGGGCGAGCGUUGUUCAGAAUUAUUGGGCGUAAAGGGUGCGUAGGCGGUUUGGUAAGUCUUGUGUGAAAUCUACAGGCUCAACUUGUAGUCUGCACGAGAAACUGCCGGGCUUGAGUGUGGGAGAGGUGAGUGGAAUUCCUGGUGUAGCGGUGAAAUGCGUAGAUAUCAGGAGGAACACCUGUGGCGAAAGCGGCUCACUGGACCAUAACUGACGCUGAUGCACGAAAGCUAGGGGAGCAAACAGG
rnacentral:rRNA from 1 species